AGCGAACGCUGGCGGCAGGCCUAACACAUGCAAGUCGUACGAACUCUUCGGAGUUAGUGGCGGACGGGUGAGUAACACGUGGGAACGUGCCUUUUGGUUCGGAAUAACUCAGGGAAACUUGUGCUAAUACCGAAUGUGCCCUUCGGGGGAAAGAUUUAUCGCCAUUAGAGCGGCCCGCGUCUGAUUAGCUAGUUGGUGAGGUAACGGCUCACCAAGGCGACGAUCAGUAGCCGGUCUGAGAGGAUGACCAGCCACACUGGGACUGAGACACGGCCCAGACUCCUACGGGAGGCAGCAGUGGGGAAUCUUGCGCAAUGGGCGAAAGCCUGACGCAGCCAUGCCGCGUGAAUGAUGAAGGUCUUAGGAUUGUAAAAUUCUUUCACCGGGGACGAUAAUGACGGUACCCGGAGAAGAAGCCCCGGCUAACUUCGUG
rnacentral:rRNA from 1 species